rnacentral:rRNA from 1 species
GACGUAGGGCGCGAGCGUUGUCCGGAUUUAUUGGGCGUAAAGAGCUCGUAGGCGGCUUGUCGCGUCGGAUGUGAAAUCUCAGGGCUCAACUCUGACAUUGCAUUCGAUACGGGCAGGCUCGAGUUCGGUAGGGGAGACUGGAAUUCCUGGUGUAGCGGUGAAAUGCGCAGAUAUCAGGAGGAACACCGGUGGCGAAGGCGGGUCUCUGGGCCGAUACUGACGCUGAGGAACGAAAGCGUGGGGAGCGAACAGG